GCUGUGAUGAAUAUGAUGGAGAUGAUCUGAUAAGAUGAAUCUUCCUUUCUCUAAGAAGUUCUGAGCUG